CUUGUACUCCCUCCGUCCGAAAAUAUUUGUCAUUGAAAUGUAUGUAUCUAGAUGUAUUUUAGUUCUAGACACAUCCAUUUUGAUGACAAGUAAUUACGGACGGAGGGAGUACUUG
rnacentral:pre_miRNA from 1 species